rnacentral:rRNA from 1 species
CCUAACACAUGCAAGUCGAGCGGCAGGCGCGGGGGCAACCCUGGCGGCGAGCGGCGGACGGGUGAGUAACGCUUGGGAAUCUGCCUGUUAGUGGGGGAUAACUCGGGGAAACUCGAGCUAAUACCGCAUACGCACUACGGUGGAAAGCCGGGGACCGCAAGGCCUGGCGCUAACAGAUGAGCCCAAGUCGGAUUAGCUAGUUGGUAGGGUAAUGGCCUACCAAGGCUACGAUCCGUAGCUGGUCUGAGAGGACGACCAGCCACACUGGGACUGAGACACGGCCCAGACUCCUACGGGAGGCAGCAGUGGGGAAUAUUGGACAAUGGGGGAAACCCUGAUCCAGCGACGCCGCGUGGGUGAAGAAGGCCUGCGGGUUGUAAAGCCCUUUCGGUGGGGAAGAAAAGCUUCGACCUAAUACGUCGGAGUCUUGACGUAACCCACAGAAGAAGCACCGGCUAACUCUGUGCCAGCAGCCGCGGUAAUAC